rnacentral:rRNA from 1 species
AGUGAACGCUGGCGGUAGGCCUAACACAUGCAAGUCGAACGGCAGCACAGUAAGAGCUUGCUCUUACGGGUGGCGAGUGGCGGACGGGUGAGGAAUCCAUCGGAAUCUACUUUUUCGUGGGGGAUAACGUAGGGAAACUUACGCUAAUACCGCAUACGACCUACGGGUGAAAUCAGGAGAUCUUCUGACCUUGCGCGAUUGAAUGAGCCGAUGUCGGAUUAGCUAGUUGGCGGGGUAACGGCCCACCAAGGCGACGAUCCGUAGCUGGUCUGAGAGGAUGAGCGGCCACACUGGAACUGAGACACGGCCCGGACUCCUACGGGAGGCAGCGGUGGGGAAUAUUGGACAAUGGGCGCAAGCCUGAUCCAGCCAUGCCGCGUGGGUGAAGAAGGCCUUCGGGUUGUAAAUCCCUUUUGUUGGGAAAGAAAAGCAGCAGGUUAAUACCCCGCUGUUCUGACGGUACCCAAAGAAUAAGCACCGGCUAACUUCGUG